rnacentral:rRNA from 1 species
CAGCCGCCGCGGUAAUACGGAGGAUCCAAGCGUUAUCCGGAAUCAUUGGGUUUAAAGGGUCCGUAGGCGGUCUUGUAAGUCAGUGGUGAAAGCCCAUCGCUCAACGGUGGAACGGCCAUUGAUACUGCAGGACUUGAAUUAUUGGGAAGUAACUAGAAUAUGUAGUGUAGCGGUGAAAUGCUUAGAGAUUACAUGGAAUACCAAUUGCGAAGGCAGGUUACUACCAAUUGAUUGACGCUGAUGGACGAAAGCGUGGGUAGCGAACAGGAUUAGAGACCCGCUAGUCCCUGUCUCUUAUACU